UACAGAGACUGCGAGCGUUAUUCGGAUUCACUGGGCGUAAAGGGUGCGCAGGCGGCCGAGUGUGUUAGGCGUGAAAGCCCGAGGCUUAACCUCGGAAUUGCACCUAAAACUACUUGGCUAGAGUACUGGAGAGGGAAACGGAAUUCACGGUGUAGCAGUGAAAUGCGUAGAUAUCGUGAGGAACACCAGAGGCGAAGGCGGUUUCCUGGACAGUUACUGACGCUCAGGCACGAAAGCGUGGGGAGCAAAAGGG
rnacentral:rRNA from 1 species